GAUGAACGCUGGCGGCGUGCUUAACACAUGCAAGUCGAACGGAAAGGCCCAAGCUUGCUUGGGUACUCGAGUGGCGAACGGGUGAGUAACACGUGGGUGAUCUGCCCUGCACUUCGGGAUAAGCCUGGGAAACUGGGUCUAAUACCGGAUAGGACGAUGGUUUGGAUGCCAUUGUGGAAAGUUUUUUCGGUGUGGGAUGAGCUCGCGGCCUAUCAGCUUGUUGGUGGGGUAAUGGCCUACCAAGGCGUCGACGGGUAGCCGGCCUGAGAGGGUGUACGGCCACAUUGGGACUGAGAUACGGCCCAGACUCCUACGGGAGGCAGCAGUGGGGAAGAUUGCACAAUGGGCGCAAGCCUGAUGCAGCGACGCCGCGUGGGGGAUGACGGCCUUCGGGUUGUAAACUCCUUUCGCUAGGGACGAAGCGUUUUUGUGACGGUACCGGGAGAAGAAGCACCGGCUAACUACGU
rnacentral:rRNA from 1 species